rnacentral:rRNA from 1 species
UACGGGGGGAGCAAGCGUUGUUCGGAUUUACUGGGCGUAAAGGGCGCGUAGGCGGCCACCGCAAGUCAAUUGUGAAAUCUCCGGGCUUAACUCGGAAAGGUCAACUGAUACUGCGGGGCUAGAGUGCGGAAGGGGCAACUGGAAUUCUCGGUGUAGCGGUGAAAUGCGUAGAUAUCGAGAGGAACACCUGCGGCGAAGGCGGGUUGCUGGGCUGACACUGACGCUGAGGAGCGAAAGCGUGGGGAGCGAACAGG